rnacentral:rRNA from 1 species
GGGUUGUGAGGUUAAGCGACUAAGCGUACACGGUGGAUGCCCUGGCAGUCAGAGGCGAUGAAGGACGUGCUAAUCUGCGAUAAGCGUCGGUAAGGUGAUAUGAACCGUUAUAACCGGCGAUUUCCGAAUGGGGAAACCCAGUGUGUUUCGACACACUAUCAUUAACUGAAUCCAUAGGUUAAUGAGGCGAACCGGGGGAACUGAAACAUCUAAGUACCCCGAGGAAAAGAAAUCAACCGAGAUUCCCCCAGUAGCGGCGAGCGAACGGGGAGGAGCCCAGAGCCUGAAUCAGUGUGUGUGUUAGUGGAAGCGUCUGGAAAGGCGCGCGAUACAGGGUGACAGCCCCGUACACAAAAAUGCACAUGCUGUGAGCUCGAUGAGUAGGGCGGGACACGUGGUAUCCUGUCUGAAUAUGGGGGGACCAUCCUCCAAGGCUAAAUACUCCUGACUGACCGAUAGUGAACCAGUACCGUGAGGGAAAGGCGAAAAGAACCCCGGCGAGGGGAGUGAAAAAGAACCUGAAACCGUGUACGUACAAGCAGUGGGAGCCUCUUUUAUGGGGUGACUGCGUACCUUUUGUAUAAUGGGUCAGCGACUUAUAUUCUGUAGCAAGGUUAACCGAAUAGGGGAGCCGAAGGGAAACCGAGUCUUAACUGGGCGUUAAGUUGCAGGGUAUAGACCCGAAACCCGGUGAUCUAGCCAUGGGCAGGUUGAAGGUUGGGUAACACUAACUGGAGGACCGAACCGACUAAUGUUGAAAAAUUAGCGGAUGACUUGUGGCUGGGGGUGAAAGGCCAAUCAAACCGGGAGAUAGCUGGUUCUCCCCGAAAGCUAUUUAGGUAGCGCCUCGUGAAUUCAUCUCCGGGGGUAGAGCACUGUUUCGGCAAGGGGGUCAUCCCGACUUACCAACCCGAUGCAAACUGCGAAUACCGGAGAAUGUUAUCACGGGAGACACACGGCGGGUGCUAACGUCCGUCGUGAAGAGGGAAACAACCCAGACCGCCAGCUAAGGUCCCAAAGUCAUGAUUAAGUGGGAAACGAUGUGGGAAGGCCCAGACAGCCAGGAUGUUGGCUUAGAAGCAGCCAUCAUUUAAAGAAAGCGUAAUAGCUCACUGGUCGAGUCGGCCUGCGCGGAAGAUGUAACGGGGCUAAACCAUGCACCGAAGCUGCGGCAGCGACGCUUAUGCGUUGUUGGGUAGGGGAGCGUUCUGUAAGCCUGCGAAGGUGUACUGUGAGGUAUGCUGGAGGUAUCAGAAGUGCGAAUGCUGACAUAAGUAACGAUAAAGCGGGUGAAAAGCCCGCUCGCCGGAAGACCAAGGGUUCCUGUCCAACGUUAAUCGGGGCAGGGUGAGUCGACCCCUAAGGCGAGGCCGAAAGGCGUAGUCGAUGGGAAACAGGUUAAUAUUCCUGUACUUGGUGUUACUGCGAAGGGGGGACGGAGAAGGCUAUGUUGGCCGGGCGACGGUUGUCCCGGUUUAAGCGUGUAGGCUGGUUUUCCAGGCAAAUCCGGAAAAUCAAGGCUGAGGCGUGAUGACGAGGCACUACGGUGCUGAAGCAACAAAUGCCCUGCUUCCAGGAAAAGCCUCUAAGCAUCAGGUAACAUCAAAUCGUACCCCAAACCGACACAGGUGGUCAGGUAGAGAAUACCAAGGCGCUUGAGAGAACUCGGGUGAAGGAACUAGGCAAAAUGGUGCCGUAACUUCGGGAGAAGGCACGCUGAUAUGUAGGUGAAGUCCCUCGCGGAUGGAGCUGAAAUCAGUCGAAGAUACCAGCUGGCUGCAACUGUUUAUUAAAAACACAGCACUGUGCAAACACGAAAGUGGACGUAUACGGUGUGACGCCUGCCCGGUGCCGGAAGGUUAAUUGAUGGGGUUAGCGCAAGCGAAGCUCUUGAUCGAAGCCCCGGUAAACGGCGGCCGUAACUAUAACGGUCCUAAGGUAGCGAAAUUCCUUGUCGGGUAAGUUCCGACCUGCACGAAUGGCGUAAUGAUGGCCAGGCUGUCUCCACCCGAGACUCAGUGAAAUUGAACUCGCUGUGAAGAUGCAGUGUACCCGCGGCAAGACGGAAAGACCCCGUGAACCUUUACUAUAGCUUGACACUGAACAUUGAGCCUUGAUGUGUAGGAUAGGUGGGAGGCUUAGAAGUGUGGACGCCAGUCUGCAUGGAGCCGACCUUGAAAUACCACCCUUUAAUGUUUGAUGUUCUAACGUUGACCCGUAAUCCGGGUUGCGGACAGUGUCUGGUGGGUAGUUUGACUGGGGCGGUCUCCUCCUAAAGAGUAACGGAGGAGCACGAAGGUUGGCUAAUCCUGGUCGGACAUCAGGAGGUUAGUGCAAUGGCAUAAGCCAGCUUGACUGCGAGCGUGACGGCGCGAGCAGGUGCGAAAGCAGGUCAUAGUGAUCCGGUGGUUCUGAAUGGAAGGGCCAUCGCUCAACGGAUAAAAGGUACUCCGGGGAUAACAGGCUGAUACCGCCCAAGAGUUCAUAUCGACGGCGGUGUUUGGCACCUCGAUGUCGGCUCAUCACAUCCUGGGGCUGAAGUAGGUCCCAAGGGUAUGGCUGUUCGCCAUUUAAAGUGGUACGCGAGCUGGGUUUAGAACGUCGUGAGACAGUUCGGUCCCUAUCUGCCGUGGGCGCUGGAGAACUGAGGGGGGCUGCUCCUAGUACGAGAGGACCGGAGUGGACGCAUCACUGGUGUUCGGGUUGUCAUGCCAAUGGCACUGCCCGGUAGCUAAAUGCGGAAGAGAUAAGUGCUGAAAGCAUCUAAGCACGAAACUUGCCCCGAGAUGAGUUCUCCCUGACUCCUUGAGAGUCCUGAAGGAACGUUGAAGACGACGACGUUGAUAGGCCGGGUGUGUAAGCGCAGCGAUGCGUUGAGCUAACCGGUACUAAUGAACCGUGAGGCUUAACCUUACAACGCCGAAGGUGUUU